rnacentral:rRNA from 1 species
GAUUAUGGCUCAGGAUGAACGCUGGCGGCGUGCUUAACACAUGCAAGUCGAACGAAGCAUUAAGAAUGAAGUUUCGGAUGGAUUCUUUGACUAGUGGCGGACGGGUGAGUAACGCGUGGGGAACCUGCCGUAUGCAGGGGGACAACAGUUGGAAACGACUGCUAAUACCGCAUAAGCGCACGGAACCGCAUGGUUCUGUGUGAAAAGAUUUAUCGGCAUACGAUGGCCCCGCGUUGGAUUAGGUAGUUGGUGAGGUAACGGCCCACCAAGCCGACGAUCCAUAGCCGACCUGAGAGGGUGACCGGCCACAUUGGGACUGAGACACGGCCCAAACUCCUACGGGAGGCAGCAGUGGGGAAUAUUGCACAAUGGGGGAAACCCUGAUGCAGCCGACGCCGCGUGAGUGAGGAAGUAUUUCGGUAUGUAAAGCUCUAUCAGCAGGGAAGAAGAUGACGGUACCUGCAUAAGAAGCCCCGGCUAACUACGUGCCAGCCGCCGC